rnacentral:rRNA from 1 species
UUAAAGGGCCGCGGUAUUUUGACCGUGCGAAGGUAGCAUAAUAAUUAGUCUCCUAAUUAGAGGCUUGUAUGAAUGGUCGGACAAGAUGGAAACUGUCUCAAUACAAUAAAUAAAAUUUAAUAUCUAAGUAAAAAAGCUUAGAUAAUAUGGAGUGACGAUAAGACCCUAUAAAGCUUUAUAAUAUUUUUCUUUUAUAUAAAUUGUUUUGUUAUUAACAUAUUUUAGUGUAAAUAUUAUUUUACUGGGGCGGUAAAAGUAUAUUAAAGAAUAACUGCUUUUAUUUUGUAUAACAACUGUAGUUGAAAAUAAAUUGAUCCAUUAUUAAUGAUUAUAAAAACAAGUUACUUUAGGGAUAACAGCGUAAUUUUUUUUGAGAGUUCUUAUCGAAAAAAAAGUUUGCGACCUCGAUGUUGAAUUAAGGGUACCUUAAGGUGCAGCAGUUUUA